AUCGUUCAUCUCUUCUGUAAAGAGACGGAAGUAGGGACUAAACCCGAAGGAACGCGCC
rnacentral:ncRNA from 2 species